rnacentral:tRNA from 1 species
GUAAAUAUAGUUCAAUCAGAACAUUAGAUUGUGAAUCUAAAAAUAGAAAUUAAUACUUCUCAUUUACCG